rnacentral:lncRNA from 1 species
CACUGAGCUGCUGAGAAAAGGUAGCGCCUGUGUUUCGACGACAAAGGUGCUAACUUUACGACCUGCAAACUUUACUCUGGUCUUCCAUGACGGUCCUUUUCGACAAGCAACAGGUUUGCAGAUAAAAAUGUCCCUGCCAAGAAUAUUUGUUCAAUGCAACUUUACGGCUUUAAUUUGAGGUGAUGAGUAACAGGCAGCGGCUAGCAGUGGAUCGAUGCAGGCGGCUCUUUCCCGCGAACCCCUACUUCCCUCCGAUAGGCUACACGACAGCGUGAGGGAUCUGACUGACCUCUCUACAGAGAUGGUGGCGGAGAAGUGGGGAGCGUGGUCAGGAUAAAGGGAUGACGCGGCGAGCGAGUUGGUGCCCAUAUAGAGGUGGUGGUCCAGAUGGAUUCGAAGGGAACGCCUCGAUAGACAAGAAGCUUCGACAAGGAAAGGUAGAAAGCUAGAUAGCAACGAAAGAAGGUUGUAUGGAAAGAAUUUGGGGAAACAGUGGGGGACGAUCAGCGGCAGGACAGGAGACUGUGGCAAGCAGUCUCGAUAGAUGCAAGUAGAUUAACUCAUUUUGGCCGCAGAUGAACACAUCCUAUAACCGCUUCUGCUGCUACUGCUAGCACUGUGACCACUGGACCUCCGUCGCCGCUAAGAUCCGUGGCUAUCCGAGAUUGCAAUCCAAAAAGGAGCAAGCAAAAGAAUAAGGAAAAACGCACUAUCGAAUACUAGAGAUGAAGCCAGAUUUGCCCAGGUCUCAUUGUAAACACAUACGUGGGCGGAAACACAAAGAAAGGCUCGCGCCACCAUCGCUUUGACCUUUGAAAAUCGUAGUUACUCACUAUAUAUAUAUAUAUAUAUAUAUAUAUAUAUCGAAACUUGGUACAGUCCUUUGAAAAGCUAUCCAGAACGCUUGCAGCCUAUACAUCGUGACGACAAAUAUUUAGUGGGUGCUUGUAUCCUAUAAUACUCUGUUGAAGUUUGCGUCAGAUAAAUUAGUUUGCCAUACAUAUUAUGCAAGUGCAUAUAAUAUGACUUGUAUCGUUUGGCUUGUUAAUUCGAUUGGUCGACAAACUUUGCAAACCUUAUGUAGAGUAUAGUAUAGGUGUAUAUUUUAUUUAAAAGUAUGUUCAGUUGCUGUUACAUUUUUAACAAAAAUGUAACAGUAACUGUUUGCUGCACUUCUCGUAUCUUAUUAAGUUGUCGAAAAAGUAAAUUAAAGCAUUUUUUUUUCUAUUUCAAAAUAAUGUUGCUCUGCGUUAAUCUGAUCGACAAUUUAUUAUUAUACUACACAAGCCCAUUAAUGCAGAAGUUCUGUGAUCUUUGGGCGAAAAAUUGUGACGAGUAAUUUUCACAUCCCUUCAUAAAAACUAAAUCUACAGGUCGAAACAGAUGAUAAUCUGAUGAUGCUAUACGGUCAAUGCGUUAAAAUGUCCUAUUCUAUAGAAAAUUCUCUCAUUUUUGGUGGAAAAUUACGCCUUUUCUGUUCACGGGUUCCGGUCGAUUUUUUCCUAUGACCUGUCAUUGUCCGAAUCAAUGUAACAACUUAUAAUGCACGAUUACUUUCCAAUCCCGCCAAACACCUCAUCACCUUUUUUAGCGUGAGUCUGAGCUUUGCCACGGAUUGUAGACCAUACUUUUUAAAUGUUCGUUUCUGCAUAUUAUUACCGUAUGUGACCUACUUUUUACCAGUCGUGGUUAAUCGUUUUUUUGUUACGUCUUUGAAGAGUUUCGCAAAUCGAUACACGAUUAAGUAAAUUAUUAUACGUUCGUGCAUUUUCUGUAGCCGGCUUUGUUUAAUAGAUUUGAAACUAAGAGUCAAUGUUUAAUUUCUCAGCUAAUGACGUGUUGGUCUUGCUCAUGUUCCACAAUCAUUUUCUCAGCUUUCUCUGCAGUUAGUCGGCCGCUACGAGCAAUGUUUCCAACUUGAAAAUUUGUAGAACAAAAGCGACAGAGCCGUAUUUGCGGCGUUUCUUCCUAUACUGCAUCCUGACUGUAAACGGCAUUAAUCUUUCAAUAGCCAGCCUUUGUGCCCUUACAUGGUAAAAGCUAACAAAUUUUUGUAGAAGCUUCACUCGUUUUGAACGCGCUCUACUUUAUUACUGAAUACUAGUAUUUCGAGGAUGCUAUCAGUGUAUAACCUAAGCUUUGCUAAAAUGACGCUUUUCGAUAACCCAAUGGUCAGUGGACAGUUUUUACAAAUUUUUAACCUGAGUAGAGUGCCGCAAAACAUGUUAUGUCUUUGGCAUUUAUACCGCUGCUACGAAGGAACAUGUCUGAGCACCAGUCACACGCCUGUCUCUUUUUGCUCAUAUACCGGCAUAUUUUACCGAUGUCUUACAAUUACUGUUUGUUUUUUAUUAGUUUUGUUUGUUCACUAAAGACAAUUUCCUGACUGCUCAUCACUGUGCAGUUGUAGGAUCAAUCUUUGCUUAGUAACAGGAAACGUAUGCAAUAUAUCCUCCGCCUAUACUCGCCGUUUGCUCGUUCAACCCUCAGCAGGGGCAGCCGCAACAACGAGACGAUGUCUGUUCUGCUUAGUCCUGCCUAGCUCGCUGACUGCUUGCCUUAUGCCUUGCUGUUUCCCCGCCUGUUCGUUUUCCUGCAAAACUUCCUCGCCGCCUUUACCAUGUUUUCGCAGAGCGCGUGAAACGAUGCGUGGCUUCAAUUAACAUAUUCAUAGCCGACAACCAACCUCCCGGCUAAGCAUCCGCGUUUACCCCUACGACACUACAACAGCAGCUGCAGCAACUGCCAAGCCGCAACAGUAACGGCAGCAAAUCGAAACAGGCGAAAUGCGUUACUCUAAAGAACUGAGCGACGUUCACACAAUGCUGGAACAGCCGCUACCCUCAGCCCCUCACCGCAAACAACAAUAACAACACCAAGAUGGAUCAUAUCAGGACCGGGGACGACAGAGCGCCUCGCUAUAUGCAUAGCACCCGUGGACAACGUUAAGCUCCGCAGGACAACAUGAGAUGAUGAUUACGAUGACGAUAACGGCUACAACUAAUACAACGAUGCAAAUAAGAAAACGGAUAAUAAUAAUAACGAGAACGAGUGAGAGUGCGAAAUAAACGCGCGGGUAGCAAACACACGAUAACGCACCGCCGCCGACGGCGGAACGGUGAUUAGGCGCAAAAAUGACCCACACACACCGUCGUCGGAGGCAUCUAUGUGAUCUUAAGGUCCGAAUGACACCAUCGUGGCUCUACUGCCAUAUCUGAUUGUUAUUAUAUAACGGUUAUUUCGAGUCAUUUCCCUAGAAGGACUUUUUGGUCUAACGACUUUGUGAAGCUCUUAAUAAAAAUUAUUGAAUAGAUGAAAGCUAGAACAGUCCUGGCAAAUCUCAUUCAGCUUUUAAGUCGUUCUUAGUUUCUGACUGCGCUUAGCAACAGCGAGAACGGCUGCAACUGAGAAACCAGAGGAAAGAGCAAGAUAAUUUUCUCAAAGUUGCAGUCUAACCAAUUACUAUCAUGAAGCAUGCCAGUAGUCCUACAACUGCUAGGAAACAACUUUUCCGAAACGAUCAACUAGUAAAAGAUGUUUGUUCCUAAACAUGCCAAGCUUAUCAGGCAGAGUCGACGACCGUUAAAGGUCACAGCGGACGAAUAUAAUAAGCAACCUUCAGGGUAACUAACUGGGUCACUGCAAGAAAUACGUUUCUCUACAAAGAAACAUUUGAGUAUCUAAAUAUUCAAUUGUGGAACCGGCCCAAGGGUAGUUUAGAUGUGGAAAGAGAGACCUUCGCUUUAUAUCAAUUUGUGUGUUGUUCACGCAGCAAAUGGUAGUUGAUUAUGUCAAGACUGAGUAUAUUGCGGGGUUGAAACGAGAGUUAGAUCAAUCUAGUCGUUUCCGUGUGUUUUCCUUAAUCAGCCAAGUGACGUGUAAAAUGUAAAAUCGUGACCCCGCCAAUGAAAUAUGUUCCUACUUUUCUGGGCAAAUAGUCAAGAAGCAGAUUUGUUGCUCCUUGGUCCUACGUGUAACCAGCAUUGUAAUUUAAGUUUAUUAUAUGCGUAUAAUAGAUACUUUCUCAUCGCAGUCGAAAAGCUUCUCCUGAAGCGCAAAAGUGUUCAGGUUGUAUAUGAUCACUGUGUGCUGUUUCGUGCAGUUACUGUAUAUUCCCUAUACGGGGUGAUUCUGCUGCCGCCUCUAUACUGCAGCAUCGUGCAUUGGGAUGAUUCUGUGCCCGAACGUUUGUCUUUGGCUGGGCUUCCGUUUAAUUGUGAGUCGAGUGAGUGGGUGAGUGAGUGAAAAGUAUUUGCGUCUGUGCGCCCGCGUGAGUCCAAAUAUAGAUUUCGCCAAGCGUUAGCACAUACAUGCAGUAUCCACACACAGUGCGCGCUAGCAAAAACGAUCGAGUGGAUUGAAAAAUGUUUGUUUUGCGAGUGUUCUUUGUGUUUACUUAGCCUUUACUGUUUGUACGUGGCUAACGUAGUAGGCUUUGUAAGUGCUGCACCUUCGAACGGCACUCGUCCCACUCGAAUGCGGGCGAAAGAAAGACCUUCGGUCGGCAACAUUGCAGGUGUGUGUGUUUACGGUCGAAGACACUUAGAAGCUAGCGUACAUUGCAAUUGACGGGAAAAAAAAUAAAACGAGAGGCUUAUUUCUGACAAACUUACUAAUAACAUUCAAGGUGCAAAGGAUUACUUUAUCAAGGAAGAAAGCUUUUGUGGUACGUUUUUCAAUUCAAUAAUUGUGUGCAGCGGUUACACUUAUAACGAUUACGUAGUCGUAUUUCCAUUCGAAUGAGCCGUAUGACUCGAACUGUAGAUGUUUUAGUUCUGGUCGCAGGCAGUGAUACCUGAAUUUGGCUAGUUUAAUUUAUCGAUUAUUUCAGUGGGCUAGUUAAUGUAUUAUCGGUCACAAGUGCAACGCUUACAUGUAAACCAAUAGGGUGGCGUGUAUUAUCGUACCAUGUCGACAAGGUUGACUUACUUCGCAGCGGGAUUUAAUAGGGUUUUGAAGUAGCGAAAUAGCUAGUAAGCAGUCUUCGUUCAGGGACUUAGUUCCUAGUAUUGUUCUUUUACCCGUCAUAGGCUACAUGGUACGCGGAGGUGUGCACGACGAGUUCUUUCUCUCGCAGAUGAAGUUUCUGCCCAUCACGUUAAACCACUGGCAAAUAGCCGAACUCAUUUCCUAGUUUUGUUUGGAACAAGAAGCGACACAUUUAUAACUUACUAUUGAUUUUAAUGACAUCAUCAAGAACCGUAAAGCGUUGUCACAGAGGCAUUGCGUGUCGUGACCUCGUAUAUGUGAUGCACUAAAAGGUUUUUACGUCGCAUUAAAUGUUUUCGAAGUUGAUCGCACUUACUGCUCUCACGGAAUAUUCCAUAAUGCAUUUCGAAAGCUUGCUUACUUGUCUUUCCCUGAUCAUACAGCCGCAAGAAAAGCAGUAGCUGGAGUAGUACUAAUUAUCAAUUGUGAAUGUGAUAGUAGUGAAGGGGUUUCCUUGUGUGUUUCUGACGCGUUGACUUGGACUGUUUCUUUUGUGCAGGAGAGUGAUUUAUAAGCGAUAGUUACAUUUAUCUUUCCCUUUGUUCCCUAGCUUUUCCCCCAACAGCUAUCUUUCUUCGUACCCGCACAGGCGAAAUUGCAAUUGUUUUGUGGAACCAAACACUAUACACAUUAGCCUUGAAGAAAAGACAUUUGUGAUUUACUCUUCCAUCCUUAUUUUCUCCGCCCUGUUUACCAAUGCUGUAAUCCUAAUUAAUACACGGCCGCACUCUUCUAGAGACUUAGGAAGAAAUUAAACAAGGUUGAACUAUGAUUAUAGUCUAGCUUUGCAGUUGCCUGCUUCUCCAUGUGUGCUCAAAACAGCAAUUUCUAAGUUGAAUCACUAUUUAUUUAAGAUACAAUGCCUGAAAGAUAUCUCCUCGUUUACGAGAUAUGCCUUGCCUUAAAUCUGUUCUUUUUCAUGAACAAAAACAGGCUUUGAGGAUCGCAGUAGAGAUAUGACUGAGUCACAACUAGAGAUCGCAUUCUUGGCGAACAAUGCCUAAUUAUAUAUACAUAUGCCAUGAAGUGGUAGGAUGUCAUUUGAUUGUCGCUGUCAGAAGCAGUCUUCUCCUGGACACUGCCAUAACUCCUCUCAGGCCUCUCGUGUUCCGACGUAAGCGAAUAAAACAUCACUCUCUUGGAAGUUCUAGCCGUGGUAUUGUUUCAAUAAGUGAAAUCUUUUUUCUUGAGAAGGAUUUGCGUUGAUUCUGUUCGCAGUGAUUUAAAAAUACCUGCGUUACUUGCAUUCUUGGAGAUAUUUUUAAGGCUGGAGCUGAGGAUCCGGCUGCUGUUCUUGGGGCGAAUUUGGGUCUUAAUUUUAGCAUCAUUUUUACGAGCGUCCGUCUGAAUAUAACAACGGCAGUGACCGUUGACAGACUUUUAAGCCAACAUGUCAGCAAAACAAUUGUUGAACGUAUAUACGUCGCCAGAUGUCUUCAUAUUUUCUACACACAUACUGCAAGCUUCGUAGUCACGUCAAACACGCUUCACUCAAACAAAACGGAUCUUAACCAACAGUGAUUUACAAAAGAACUAGUUGUCCUAACUGUUAGUGUGUAGUAUCUUUUCGACUUUGGCCUCAGGCUUAAGCUGGAAAUCAACCAUUCCAGUACCCAGCUUGACAGUUAGGAGAAACCGAUUUUCCUCUUUCUCAUAUUUCGUAUUCCCGAUGGUUUCAUUAAGCACUGAAGAUACCAUAUUGACGUUUGCAACACAUAUUGCUCAUGCGCACUUUGGUAAGUGCUGUGUCAAAAAUCACAUAGCUUCUCUUCUUCACCAUGUCAUCUUCAAGUUACUUCGCCUUAUUUUUUUCCCGUACCGAUCAAAUACGAAGUAAAAGAAACAGAUCACGAAACAAGUCACGAUGUCAAUGCCGAUUCUAGUGGCAGUACUCUUAUGGCCGCGGUCAUCUACGAAGCACCACUUACCACAUCAGUUGCACCCUUCAAAAUACUGCCUGCCGCAGAGUUACAUUCUUGCAUAGCCAUUUAAUCUUACGAGAGACGUGAAGCGGAAAUUAUCUGGCAGGUUGCUGUUUGUGGUCACAUAGAUCCGUUUGGCACUUAUCUACAAAAACAAUAAACCAUAUUUUCUUACAUCUAAUAUCUUUUUAGUAAGGAAUUAGCGACCUAGAAAAUGCACCUGUUAUUCGUUUUCUCUCUUUUUUUCUGCUAUUGCAAAAGAGUCUAAGCUGCCUAAAAAUUACGAAAUUUUUUGAAGCACUAUGUUUAAUUACAACAGCAUCAAAAAAGAUCAGCUGCAUUAGAGUAACAGAGAUUGGAAUAGACGUACCAUAAUAUUCACACAUUUUUAUAAUAGAGAGAAAUAGGAUAACCUUAUAAUGUGGUCGCAUGUGUUUUUCUGUGUAUGUGAACUCACCCUCGCGUCAGUCUGUUGGUCUUGUGUAUCUUCACUAUUGAGGAAAGGUGAAUUGUAUACGUAGCGCGUCUUCCUACUUUGUUCCCGUGCGAUGUAAUGUGGUGUCUGCUGUGAAGGUGAGUGUUACGAAAGCGGCAGUACGGAUAGAUAGAUUGAUCGGAGGGGCAAAGUCCGUAGCCGCAGUAUUGACUGUUAAUAGGAUUAGCUGUCGUUCCUUGUUCGCUUGUCCUUAGUAUUUUCUUCUGCAGUCGCCUUAUUCUUGUGAUUCGUGCAGAAUCAGGGCGAAAACCCCUCUAGGGGUUUACGGCUGCCCUGAGCAUUGAUAUGGUAAGGGGCAAACUGCCGAGAGCAGGGACUUUAUGAUGGAAUGGCAGGGAUGAUGGUUGUAGAGACUGUUUGGAGAGGAAGGCGAAGGUAGUUUAGUCAAGCGGCGUUUGACUCUACUAUGCUAACGUCAUCACGCUUUUGUUAUUAUUGUGCGCAUUUGUACAAAUCGCGCUAUCUAGCAACCACGCGAACCCGACAAACCUAUAUACAUAUAUAUAUAUAUAUAGAGGAACAUGAUCUCUGGGGGCAGCUGCGAAUAGAGGCUGAUACAGGGUGCGCUACUGAGACCUACGGUUCUACUUGGGCUCUACAGACCUGGUUUGUUCCAACCAUUUUUUGAUGCUACGUGAGAUCACAAACUAUCAGCCUCUCCCCUUCUCGUAUUGUUAUCUGUUUUCUCUGCAGCUUCGCUACUCAUGUGAUUGAUAUAUAAGAAAUUCCUCUUUACCAAAACGUAACUUGAAAUGCCCGGAGCGCGAUGUCACGACUUUGCAGAGAGAUUAGAAAUAAGCAGCUCAGAUAUGAUUUGUAAGUUUGUUUAGCGAUGUCAUUCUUACAUCCGUACAAAUAACAGCCUGAGAUUAUCACUGUUAGCCAAAGAGAAUUAGGCAUAGUCAAAAGACCGCGUAUUGAAAAACACGCGUUGCCUUUUGUUAGGUGCAACGGUCCUUGAGAACGUCUCAUUGUUUAAAUAUAAAGAGACGAACAAUAAAUUAGAUAAAUACAGACUUUGUCGAUAUAAUAUUAUAACUAUGUGUAACUCAAAUCACUUAGAGGCUAGGAAGUAGAUGGAUAGAUAAGUGGUCGUUGCAGGUUGAAAUCAUUACUGUACAACUGAUUAACUAGUGUUAUCCUAAUGCAUAAAUUACUGUAGAAAACCAUCUUUCAAAUGGGUGACCUCUCAGACCCGAGUUGAUCUUCAUCCUUAAACUAUGCACUAUGGUUUUUGUAAUAUGUUCAUCCUCAUUGAACUUUUACAUUUAGGGAAGGCUGUAGAACCGAAUGAUGAUGCGUAGACCCAUUUUGCUGAAAAAGUUGUUUAAUAUAUACAUUUGAAUUUAUAUGUGUGUGUCCGAAGAGGCAAGUGUAUACGAGUUUACAGUCUAUGGGAAAAUCAGAAAAUAAGAGAUGAUCACAGCUCUUCAUUUCAAAGCGGAUCGUUUGUAUCAAGGAACGCCUGGAAUGACAUUAACGACAUACCCAGCUAGCCGCGCACCCCUUGGGAAUAACCCAGGCCGUGUGCUGGUAUUACGGUUAUAUACAAGGGGAAGGGGUAAUGUUGGGUUGCGAGCGACGGGAGUGCGGAAUUUAACCAUUGAAAAGACAAAACGAAAUCAGCUGCGUAAAUGUCCUCCGUGCCAAGAGAACCCUCGUCUAUACGUUCAAAGGCACGAACGAAACGUUCUUUUAAAGUUAGGCCAUGCUCUGUCUAACGAGGAAUAGCUCAGACGAUAACUCUAGGUUUCACAAUUUCUAUGGUCUAUAUGCUUUUAAGGUUGUUCAGUGGUCUCUACUUAAUUGAUAGUAGCGAUUCGCAGUAUAAUUUUUUUCUCGAUUAGCUUAACCAUUUUAGAGUAAGCUUGUGGGGCAAAGAAGCUAUAGAGAUAUAAGCAAGGUAAGUACAAGAUGACAAAAAGUUGUCUAUAAUAGUAGAUGUAAUAAUCUAAUAAAAUAGUAGAUGUAAUUCUUUUGUUCACGUUAUAAAAUCUUUGUCGGUCUAUGAAAGGUGUUUUGGAAUUGAAAAUACGUGUCAGACGUAGACAAUGUAAACAGAAAUUUUCAGAAGUCACGCAACGAAAUGCACGACCCCCUGGGCUUUUGUCGUGUAGAUUCAAACUUUGCCAACACACAAAAAUCAGACAGCGCAGUGCAACAAAUAUUAAAGCAUAUGCGGUCACUUAGCUCAGCUCUCCUUUAGCAGAUGAAACUGCGGAUUUUCGACAUUGAGAUAACUUUGAGAACUUAUAGCAGUUGUCCAAGCCAGUAAACCUACAAACGGAUAGCCUAAUCCUCAAUAAAGCGGAAUCAGCCAUUGACCAAAGGCAGCUAAAUGUUAAUAUGUUAUUGUAGCGUAAAUAUACAAACAAACACCUUGUUAGUAAAUUCAUUGAACAAUUUAUAUCGACCUUAUUUUUGCUACGUUACACCUUAAUUAACAGUUCAUUGAAUACCUUCAGUAUUAUUAGCAGGAAUAGUGAAAGAAGCAGUUAUGACCGUUUUGGAAGUUAGGUACGUGUUAAAGACGCAAAAAUAGAAAUGGAAUUUUAUUAGAAAAAGUUCCGUGUUUACAUCGUUGUUUGUCUUCGUCGUUUCGUAUAUAUCCAUCGUUGCUUAAAAUUAUUAAAAUUAAGAAUACAAAUUACACUAACAUCGAAUAUGAGUUAUGCAGUGAAGAAUUCAUGUCCAUAAUCUUGUCCACGUACUAUACGUUCAACAGACGUUGCUU